AUACGUAGGGGGCGAGCGUUGUCCGGAAUAAUUGGGCGUAAAGGGCGCGUAGGCGGCUCUGCAAGUCAGUAGUGGAAGUCCCAUUUUCAAGGUGGGGAGGGCUGUUGAAACUGCGGAGCUUGAGUGCAGGAGAGGUUAUCGGAAUUCCCGGUGUAGCGGUGAAAUGCGUAGAGAUCGGGAGGAACACCAGUGGCGAAGGCGGGUAACUGGACUGCAACUGACGCUGAGGCGCGAAAGUGUGGGGAGCAAACAGGAUUAGAUACCCUGGUAGUCCACACUGUAAACGAUGAAUGCUAGGUGUAGGGGGUAUCGACCCCUUCUGUGCCGGAGUAAACACAAUAAGCAUUCCGCCUGGGGAGUACGGUCGCAAGAUUAAA
rnacentral:rRNA from 1 species